UAGGUUGAGUUAUAGUAGAAUAUAGGUUGAGUUAUAGUAGAAUAGUAGAAUAUAGGUUGAGUUAUAGUAGAAUAGUAGACUAUAGGUUGAGUUAUAGUAGAAUAGUAGAAUAUAGGUUGAGUUAUAGUAGAAUAUAGGUUGAGUUAUAGUAGAAUAGUAGAAUAUA